GACGAACGCUGGCGGCGUGCUUAACACAUGCAAGUCGAACGGAAAGGCCCUGCUGUUGUGGGGUGCUCGAGUGGCGAACGGGUGAGUAACACGUGAGUAACCUGCCCUUGACUUUGGGAUAACUUCAGGAAACUGGGGCUAAUAACGGAUAGGAGCUCCUGCUGCAUGGUGGGGGUUGGAAAGUUUCGGCGGGUGGGGAUGGACUCGCGGCUUAUUAGCUUGUUGGUGGGGUAGUGGCUUACCAAGGCGUUGACGGGUAGACGACCCGAGAGGGUGACCGGCCACACUGGGACGGAGACAGGGCCCAGAGGACUACAGGAGGCAGCAGGAGGGAAUCUUCGGCAAUGGACGAAAGGCGGACCGAACAACGCCGCGGGAGUGAAGAAGGACUUCGGAUCGGGAAGCUCUGUUGUAGGGGAAUAACGGGUGUGAGAGUGGAAAGUACACACUGUGACGGUAUCUUACCAGAAAGGAACGGCUAACUACGUG
rnacentral:rRNA from 1 species